rnacentral:rRNA from 1 species
UGGGGAAUAUUGCACAAUGCGCGCAAGCCUGAUGCAGCCAUGCCGCGUGUAUGAAGAAGGCCUUCGGGUUGUAAAGUACUUUCAGCGGGGAGGAAGGUGUUGUGGUUAAUAACCUCAGCAAUUGACGUUACCCGCAGAAGAAGCACCGGCUAACUCCGUGCCAGCAGCCGCGGUAAUACGGAGGGCGCAAGCGUUAAUCGGAAUUACUGGGCGUAAAGCGCACGCAGGCGGUCUGUCAAGUCGGAUGUGAAAUCCCCGGGCUCAACCUGGGAACUGCAUCCGAAACUGGCAGGCUUGAGUCUUGUAGAGGGGGGUAGAAUUCCAGGUGUAGCGGUGAAAUGCGUAGAGAUCUGGAGGAAUACCGGUGGCGAAGGCGGCCCCCUGGACAAAGACUGACGCUCAGGUGCGAAAGCGUGGGGAGCAAACA